rnacentral:lncRNA from 1 species
AUAAAAACGCAAAAUCUCUUUUUUUUUGGAUUUUUGAUUUAUAACACAUUUUUUCAAAUACAAAGUAGGAAGUACAAUAACAAAAGACUCGACAAACUUACUAGACUAUGACAGACUUCAACAUCCCUUAAAAGACUCCAUAUUACUGUACAGAACUUGAAGGUAAAACACGACAUAAAAGGAAAAAUAGACUCAAAAUAUAAAAAAUUAAAAAAAUUAAAAAAUCUCCUUAAGCAACUCCUGAAUGAGCGAUCUUGACUGGAUGGUCCUAAGACGUCUGUCAUGCCCAAACGCCGGUAAGUAGAUGUCACGACCCUAAACCCGGACCCGGUCGUGAUGGCGCCUCUCGUGAAGACAAGGCCUGGAAACUAUUCCCAAUUCGAUAUUAAAUAGUUAAUUAACAAGAAAACAGUCUAAAACAUGAUUUAAUAAUACGAAACAACAAAUAAUAUCAUAAAUAUGCGGAAGGACAACCCAACACAGCCCUAAACUGGGGUGUCACUAGUCAUGAGCAUCUAAACAAAACUGGAAUACUCCAAGUCAACUACAGAGUUUAAUGCAUAGACUAAAGACAUAAAGAAAUAAGAUAGGGAGGAGCUCCGGGCUAUGAACGCCAAUAGCUACCUAAAGACUCCUAGGACCGCCUGAAGCUGGAAAUGAUCAGCACUCGGGAGCGGGACCAGCUACGCCUGAAUUUGCACACAGGGUGCAGGGAGUAAAGUGAGUACUCCAACUCAGUGAGUAACAAAUGUAAAUAAAGACUGAAAGCAAGAAAACAUGUAAGGCACAAAGCAUUAUAUAAUGAAGCAGUAAAACCAUUUAAAAGCCGUAAAUCAGUGAAAAAUAGGUAAAAAUCCCUUAACUAAAAUAUAAAUUCAUGAAAUAUCCUUUUCAAACAAUUUAGCAGGUAAUUGACAGGAAAUUAAGGGAAAUAAACACAUAAAAGUUCGCUUCUCGGGCAACAUCUCAGAACAAUACCAGCCCCUUGGGCUCAAUCUCACAUCACAAUGGGUACCCACGCUCCCUGGGGGUGUGUAGACUCCUGGAAGUUCCCCUUACGGCCCAAGCGCAAUAAUAAACCAUCUCGUGGCAUCAACACUAGGCUCUCAGCCUCAUAUCAAUCAAGCAACCUCGUGGCGUACAUAUCUCAGGCCCUCGACCUCAAAUCAUGAUCAGUGUUUCCUCACAAUAUAGGCCCUCAGCCUUACUCAGUCAAAAAUACUCACAAGCCACUCAGGUAAUAGUAAAACAUUGAACCUCAGCCCAAUCAUCAUUUAAAAGACCAUUUAAGUAUUUAAAAUAGAGUAAACAUUGCUGAGUAUGAAAACAAUGGAAAAUAAUAUGACUGAGUUCAAGUAUAAAAGUCAAAGCAGUGAGGAAAUAUCAUUAAAAAUCCCCGAAGGGUUCAAAUAGUUGGCACGAAGCCCAAAUAUAGCAUUCAGCCCAUGUAAUGAUGAUAGCAAAUAGAUUUUAGUCAUAUACGCGGUAAAAUCAUCAAUUGGGACGGACCAAGUCGCAAUCCCCAAUAGUGCACGACCCCACGCUCGUCAUCAAGCGUGUGUCUCGUCUCAAUAUAUCACUAUGAUGUGCAAUCCGGGGUUUCAAACCCUCAGAACAUCAUUUACGAUCAUUACUCACCUCGAACCGGUCAAAUCUCUAGCUCGCGACGCCUUUGCCCCUCGAACCGGCCUCCACUCGCAUAGAAUUUAUCCAAAAUCAGAACGAGGAUGUCAAAAUAUGCUAAGGGAACAAAGCCCAAGCGAAAAUAAUCAAAAUAUGACACAAGUCCCGAAAUUACCAAAACCGACCCCCGGGCCCACGUCUCGGAAUUCGAUAAUUUUUACAUCAAUAGAUUCCUUAUCUCCCCACGACUUCAUAUAUAUCAAAAGUUCUGAAUCCGACCUCCAAUGGUCCUUCAAAUCCUCAAUCAAAAGCCUAAGUUUCCUAGUUCUUCAAUUUUUGGCUUAAUUUCCAUGAUUAUUUAGGUGGAAUUCACAUUAGAAUUGAGUUUUAUGUCCAAGAAUCUUACCUCCAAGUGAUUCCCCUUGAAUCUCUCUUCAAUCCCCUUUAAAAAGCUCCAAAAACGACCAACAAUGGAAGAAAUAAACCCCACAUUCACGGACAAGACGAUCUUUUAAACCUUCUGCCCAGGUCUAAUUUCUUUCAUCGCGAUCGCGGGACUUCCUUCGCGAUCACGAAGCACAAAUCCUCAGCUCCCAAAAUUAACCCUAUGCGAACGUGUACAAGCCUAGGAGAACGCGAUGAUCAAUCUCCCAACACUAUGCGAUCGCGAAGGAAGUCCCGCGAUCGCGAUGAACAACUUCAAGCCAAGACCCCUGCUUCACUUAACUCUACGCGAACGUGACCCACUCCCCGCAUUCGCAAUCAACAAUGCCUUCAACUUAUGCGAUCGCAUCCCCACCUUUGCGAACGCACUGAGCAAACUGGACUGCCCCCACAACAUCUCUACGCGAUCGCGAGACUCCCUACGCAAUCGCGAAGAGUAAAAACUCUGCAACAGCUGAACCAAAAUCUGCAACAUCUCCAAGGCAUGAAAUGGUCCGAUUGACCAUCCGAAACUCACCUGAGGCCCCCGGGACCUCAACCAAAGGCACCAAGAUAUCCUAAAACCUUAUUCAAACUUGUACCAAUCUUCAAAACACCUCAAACAACAUCAAAUCAACCAAAACACGUCGGAUUCAAGCCUAAGUUUCAAAAAUCUACCGAAUUCCGCUUUUGAUCAAAAAUCCAACCAAACCACGUCCGAAUGACGUUAAAUUUUGCACACACAUCCCAAAUGAUACAACAGAACUACUGCAACUCUCAGAAUUCCAUUCCGACCCCUAUAUCAAAAUCUCGCCUACUAACCGGAAAUUGCCAAAAUAUCAACUUCGCCAAUUCAAGCCUAAAUCUACUCCGAACCUCCAAAACUCAUUCCGAUCACACUCCUAAGUCCAAAAUCACCUCCCAAAGCUAUCAGAACUCACAUCUGAGCCCUAUAACACAUAUGUCAACAUCCGGUUGACUUUUCCAACCGGAUAUAAGACAUUGCAUAAUUCAAGAUUAGUUAAUAAAAGAUAACAUUAUUUUCCUUAUCCUUUAAAGAAAAAUAAAGGCACAACUUUUGACUCAAUUAUAUGAUUUUAAGCACAGUCAGAUGCUUGCCAAAACUGAAAAAUGACAUUUGAGGACCUUAAAUUAGCCGGAUGAUAAAAACAUAUGGACUGUGACUAAGUAGAGAAAUAAACAAGGAACCCAGUAAUGACCUAGGCAUGUGCACUUGAAUGUAACAAAUCAUGAAGAUUUUUACCUUAAUGAAAACUUAUAAUAAAUUAUCCAAACAAAAGAGAACAAGCUAAGGCUAUGACAAUAAUCUGAACAAAUUCCAAAAUAAAGAAAGAGCAUUUGAAGACAUUACAAAAAACUCAAGACCAUUCCAAACCACAAAAUAGACUCUUAACAUUAGCAAUUUUACUUAACAAGAAAAAGAAUAGUAAAAUAGAAAUAAAAUUCAAAAAAACAAAACUUCUGCAACUUACUAAAUCUUAGAGGAAAGGAGAGAAAACAGCAUAGGGGAUCACCUAAAUGUCAUUUCAAAUCACAAAAUUGAAGUAAAAAUUAAAUUGAAACCACUCAAAUGUCAAGGGAAAGAGUGAAAGCAGUGAAAGGAAAAUCAUACUAACCCAUAGUAUCUUUAAGUGCGCAGCCCCAGACCAAUUUCAUCAAUUAAAGACAAAAUCCAACAACCCAAUAAUUUGAAAUUAUUGGUAAACUAUCUUUCUCUUAAUCAAACCUAAUGAAUAUUGAUUAACGAACCCACAAUAAUUUCUAAAGCCAUUCAAAAAGAACACAAAGCAAUAUGAACAUCAACAUGAAUAAAUACUGACCAUUUCAAACAUUCAUGUACCAUACAACUCCGUUUUAUCAAAAUUUACUGCACGGAAUUGAGAAGAAAGACGAGAGUAAUAAUCUGACCUCAAUUAUAUUAACAAGAACUCAGUUACAACAAACUCUGACGAACUAAAUCUGGCCGGAAGGAGCAACAGUAGCAGGAGCUCGGACCGCGAACGAAGCUUCGACGGUGAACCUCGAGCAGACCCCAAACCUCACGGCAAAACUAACUAUGAAAAUGCCUGCAGCCUAGAACUGGUAUUUAGUGUUUGAAUAUAGGUUGCCUUUGCUGUAGCCCAGAACUGAUGUUUGACGUUGAUGCUUCGAAAUGGAGUUCUACCGCUGGAAAUGGCGAAGUUACUCAGAAAGGGCGGGGAGAUGGGCCUGAUGGCUGAGGAAGAUGUGUUGUUUGGGGUGAGGUGAAGGACUGACGGAUCAGUGGUGGAGAGAUGCGGCUGGAGCUAUUAGGGGUAUUCAAGGUUUUCUGGUUUUGGGUGUGAAAGGCGAAGAAGAAGACGUUCGAGGGGGGGAAGGCUAUGAAAAACGGCAGAUCCAGAUCUCUCCCACAUCUAGGUCUAGGAAAUUAGGUCCUCUUAUGCUUAGGCAUUUUUAGGGUUUAAAAAGAAAGAUCUUAUGGGUC